rnacentral:rRNA from 4 species
UGGCGGCGAUAGCGCGGUGGUCCCACCUGACCCCAUGCCGAACUCAGAAGUGAAACGCCGUAGCGCCGAUGGUAGUGUGGGGUUUCCCCAUGUGAGAGUAGGGAACUGCCA